ACGCUCGACACCUACGGAGGCAGCAGUGGGGAAUAUUGCACAAUGGGGGAAACCCUGAUGCAGCGACGCCGCGUGAAGGAAGAAGUAUCUCGGUAUGUAAACUUCUAUCAGCAGGGAAGAAAAUGACGGUACCUGACUAAGAAGCCCCGGCUAACUACGUGCCAACAGCCGCGGUAAUCUGAGCGGGCUGGCAAGGC
rnacentral:rRNA from 1 species